AUUGAACGCUGGCGGCAUGCCUAACACAUGCAAGUCGAACGGGGCAGCAAUGCCUAGUGGCGGACGGGUGAGGAAUACGUAGGAAUCUGCCCUUAAGUGGGGGAUAACCAGGGGAAACCCUGACUAAUACCGCAUGAUCUCUUCGGAGCAAAGAGGUGGACCGCAUGGCCUCUCGCUUCUGGAUGAGCCUACGUCUGAUUAGCUAGUUGGUAGGGUAAAGGCCUACCAAGGCGACGAUCAGUAACUGGUCUGAGAGGAUGAUCAGUCACACCGGAACUGAGACACGGUCCGGACUCCUACGGGAGGCAGUAGUGGGGAAUAUUGGACAAUGGGCGCAAGCCUGAUCCAGCAAUGCCGCGUGUGUGAAGAAGGCCUUCGGGUUGUAAAGCACUUUAGCCUGGAAAGAAAAAACUUUGGUUAACACCCAAAGUCUUGACGGUACCAGGAGAAUAAGCACCGGCUAACUCUGUGCCAGCCGCCGCUGUAAGAC
rnacentral:rRNA from 1 species